UUUUUGGUGCCGAGUGUUUAUGCUAAUAUGGAUUAUCUAUUCUGGAGAAAGAACAACAUUGUCGAGAGUGAGUGUCAAGCCUGAUUCAACGCAAACGAGAUGGUGCUACCUAUUCCACAAGAUCACAUUAUUGAGGAACCCCAAGUCUUAAGCUUGGGUAAUAUAUGCAUGAUAGAUGAGUCUUGGACAUCUACAUCACAAUUCAGUGGGUGUGGAUGGGUUUGAAUGGGCAACUUGGGGAAGGUUCAACUUUUGGUGACACAAAAUUAUCCAUGGCGAGAGCCUUGCAUUCGGAAGCGGAAGCACUACGAUGGACGAUGGAGAGUAUGCUCCAACAUUCAACAUGUCAGAGUUUUGGGACGGAUUGCAAAGAUCUGAUUGCCAUGAUUAAGGAGCCCAACGCUUGGCUAAGCUUUCCAACAAAAUUGGAGAGGAAAGAGACUCUGAAAAUAUGUUUCCGGACUUCAAAAUCAUUCAUAUUCCACGAGCGCAAAAUAUUUAGCUAGAACUGCGAGAUCUUUAUAUAAAGAUCUAUGUUUUAUUGGUUGUCUGGUUAUCCAGACCACGUCAAGUGAUUAAUAAAAUAGUCUGGUAAAAAAAAAACAUAUUCUACUAAAAACAGAGAAUAUAUUUUAUCAUCUCUUGGUUUUUAGCCGAAUACUCGUUUUUCAUUUUCAAUUAUUUUCAAUUGCCUCAAAUAGUAAUUAAAAUAAAAAUGAAACUUCAUUUUUAUCAUUACUUUUGUUGAGACCCGUAUAGAAUCUCGGCAAGCUAGACACUCAGACGUUUCAAAAGAGCAUACGUAGUAGCAUUAGUGCUUUGUUACAGUCAAUUUGUCUGAGUUUGCCAUGUGAGUUUACGGAUUCUCUGAACCCAGACAUGAGAUUCGAAAAUGAAAGUUCUUAAACUCUUUGAUUAGUUGAACUAUGUGCGUUAGAUUUUUUUUUUUUUUGUCACGAUGUGCGUUAGAUUCUUCUCUGUAUUUUAAAUAAAUAAAUUUUCGAAAUAUUCUUUUUACCAUUGGUUAAGGCGACUACAUGACAAAACUAAAAUGCUUUUAAGCUUCGGGAAAUGGCAAACACGUCACAUUACCUAUUUUGGGAAUCAUUCAUAUUAGUUUGUUUUCGUACAUAAUAAAGUUAAAAAAUAAGUUAUAUUAAUAGCCAAAGCCGUAACAUGUGAGUAGAGGAGAAACAAGAAGCAAUGUAAUGUGGAAUAUCGCAUCAUGCAGUGCUGCACAUGAAAGUUAGCUAAUUAACUUUUAAUUACUUUUCUAAUUUAAUUGUAAUAAUUAAAUAUAACCUGAUAACCAUCUAUCCUAUACUAAAAGGGAUUAAUAAAGCUCUCUUAAGGUGUCCACGUCCUCAAAUAAAUUCAACCAAUCAUGUUUUUUUUUAAAACACGUCAGCUGGGUGUAAAUUUGGGCAAGGUAAUUUAUAUGUAAUUAAAUUUGGACUUACCCAUCACGUUUGGGCUUGCUUUUUUUUGCCCAAAUCGACAAAUGAAAACUGAAGUUGACGCCACAUGAACUCAUCAUCUUCCUCUCCACCUCUUCGUUUUCUCCGAUAUGAAACCUGAAGAAUUGAAAACAUUUGGAUUUAAAAGAAAAGAUUUGACAGUCUAAUCUCAAUCGCAUAAAGUAAAUCAAACCAAACUUCACACAUCUUUCUCUCCGUUCGCCGUCACACAUCUUUCUCUCCGUUCGCCGUCGUCGCUAAUCUGAGAUCUCUCUCUUUACUCACCAAAGAUGCAUUCGAGCCAUCUCCUUCUCGAGGAGCCAAUCAGGAUGGCUUCAAUCCUCAAGCCAUCCAAAUCCGUAAGCGAUCCAUUGAUCCAUAUUCGUAAGAGUUAUCUCUAAUCUCUCUCUCUCUCUCUCUCUCUCUCUCUCUCUCUCUCUCUCUUCUCUCUCUCUUUUGAUGUCAUCAGAGUUUCUUUCCGGAAGCUUUGGCAACAAAAUCCAACUGAAAGUCCCAUGUCUCCACGGUUAAAGUGCCGUAGCGAUUGCUGUAAGGUGUGAAGAUAAAUGUCUGUCGAAUAUGAUCUCUGAAUGAAAACAUGAAGAAGUGUCAGUAUGCCGUAAGUGGUGAGUUUUCCCUAGAAGGAACAUUAUCUUCCCUACCCUCGCAUCUCUAAAAAGGAUGAAUCACUACUCUGCAUAUACUGAGGAGUCUGGACAAUUAUAUGGGACUGCUUUGGCGUAGGACCUGCGCUAGCUGAAGGGUAGGGAGAUUGAAUAUGACUUCCUGGAACUGAAUAGCCCUGUACCGUUGUAUAACUGUGACCAACAGGGAUGUUUUGAUUCAGUUGCCCGUAUUGGUAGCCUGGUGAGUUAACUGCCCCAGGUACUCCAUAAACCUGAAGGUGCUUACAGUGACUCAAGAGGCCUUCUGGAAGCUAGGAAAGAGGUUGCUGAGUUCAUUGAAUGACUUGAUGGGUAUCCCAGUGAUCCAAAACUCAUAUUCUCCACUGAUGGAGCUAGCUAAGGUGUGAAACAAAUCUUAAACUGUGCUAUACGCAGUGAGGGAGACAUGCAAUAUGAAGAAGAGCAGGAGAGUGCAAGUGCCACCAAGAAGCUUCACCAGAAAAGGCAAUUCAUCACAAUUUAAGUAGAAAAAAUAUGAAGUAUGAUCAGAAGAAAUAAGGUGAUGAUGUGAUGAAUGCAUGUCUUAUAUGCCCUCAAGAGAUGGAUGCAGCAGAUCUAAGCUUCUUACCAUGUCCUUGCAGAUUUUGUCUAUAUCUCUUCUCCUCUAUGCAGAUCAACCAAAACGAUGGACGUAGCCCACGACUCUGAGCUUCCCCAAACAAGUAUGAGAAGACAAGUAGUAAAAGUGCUUUAUGUUUUAGUUAUUUCCUUAGUAUCUCAGUUGCACAUAGCAUGUUGUUUGUCAAUAGAGUUUGUGUCAGUGACGUUGUUGCAUCUUUUGAAACUUUAAAGCUUAAUAAAAGUGAAAGAUCGUUGAUAUGUUAUCGAUGAAGUCGAAUGAAUGUUGCUACCAUUUAUCUUUUUCUUUAAAAUCAAAUCAAAUGGGUUGAUUGUCCACUGCGUUUAUUAAAACGUUUUCCCGAUACUAAAGGAGUUGUGAAUGUCUUAAUAUGCUAAACAAAUCUUCAGAAGUAGUUUGAUUUUGCAUAAUAAGAAACUGUAGUAGCAGGUUGGAUCGAGGAAAGGAAUCAAAGAGAAAGAAUAAUAAUAAAAAGAUUGAGAUCCGAGAAAAAGACCAAAAGGUUUGAACAAUACACAUAAUCAAUCCCCUGGACAAAAAAGAUUGUUCAAAACAAAUGUUUUCUACUACUAUUACUUUUAAAUAAUCUCCACUCGAAGGAGAAUAUUUUUUGUAUUACAGAAGGGAAUUUGUAAAUUUGAAAACGUUAUUGGGUCCACGUGUUUUUUUAAUAUUCAAAAUCAUAAAAGUUCAAGUUUUCGUUAAGAUUAUGAGACUUUCAAUUAUACACAUAAAACUGUAUGUUUUAGCGGAAAUUUUUUUUUUCAAAGAUACAUUUUUGUAUUUUCAAUACAUUUUAUUAACUAAUAAUGAUAAAUUCUAAAUUUCAAAUACUAAUUGCAUUUCUUGACUUCUUACCGGUUUAGAAUUAUAAGAAAUAUAAAUCACAAAAUAUAUAUUUAUAACUAAGACUUAAAUAAAUAUAUAUUCACAAAAAUAAGAUUUAAUAUGUGUAAAAAUUGUAAAACAUAUAUGAUUUGCAACAGAGGGAGUAGUAUAUUAGAGUUUUAGAUUAGUAGUUGGUGUAAAAUCAAUUAUACACACUUGACUCUCAUUUUAAUAUAUAUGUAACUAUUGUGAAUGUACGAAAAAUUUAAUUAUUGUGAAUGUAAGAAAAUUUAACAUUUAUGGUAAAUGAAGUUUUAAGCAAUUAUAUUUUAAUUGAGUAUAAAAGUACAUAUUAAAAUUUUUUUUGAUAUAAUCUCUUAUGAAAUUCAAAAAUUACUACUAUUUUCAUUUUAAUUUAAUUGUUGUUGUAGAGUAAAUUGUUUGUUUCAAGAUAAAUGUUGUUUUAGAAUUUAAAUACAUAAUUGAUUAACUUUAUAUGUUAUAUGAUUUUUGUAUUCUUCAGUCUAUUUUUUACUGAUUGAAAUGUGAUUAAGUGUAUAACUAAUGAUAUUUUAUUUUAGUAAUAUACAAAAUUAAUUUUUUUUUUACAUCUGUAUGCACAAAUCGAAAAUGACAAUUAAAAUGAAACAUAAUUAGUAUUAUAAAAACAUUACAUUCACCUUAAACAUUGUUAGUCCUUUUAGGUGUGUGAUCAUGGAAGAAUAACACUCAUUGCUGGCCAAUUGGUUAAUGCAUCAAAUGUCUAAAAAAUUAUAUUAAGAGAAAACUACAAAAAAAUGUCUAAAUUGUUUUAAAAUAAUAUGCAAACAAUAUUUGUUUUAGAAUUAAUAUAGUACACUAUUAUAUGUUAGAAACAGACUUUUAAAUCCUGAUAUAUUAGAAAUUGCUAAAUUUGUUUUAUUGAAAUUCAAUAUUAUAUUAUCACACAUUUUAAAAAUGAUCUCAGUUCUAUUUCCUAAGAUAAGUAUAUAAUAGUCAAUUGGAAAAUGUUAAUGUAAACCUAGAACAAAAUUAUUAACUGUGUAACUUGAUCAGAAUUGUUUUUGCCAUGCAUUGACUUAAAGUGAUAUUUUAGUCAUUUUCAAGUAAAUGAAUCAAAGAUACACAACUAUAAUAUGAAAAAAUUAAUACGCAAUGUCAAUUCCUCAUAUUUAUCAUAUUAAUUGUUGUCUUCCGCACUAUUGGUUUCAAAUAAUAAUAACCUAUUAUAUAACCAAAUAAAUAAAUUUGAUACGGCUUAAGGAAAUUUUUUCAUAUAUACAAUAAAUAAAACAAAACAACAGUAAAAUAUUAAUUUGAAAUAAAACAAAAAAUGACUACUCUAAAUUUAUAAUGAAAAAGUACAAAAAUUGUAAAAAAUAGAAAUU